rnacentral:misc_RNA from 1 species
UGAACGCACCUUGCACUCCUUGGUAUUCCGAGGAGUAUGCCUGUUUGAGUGUCAUGAAAUUCUCAACCUCAUGGUUUUAUUACUGUGAGGCUUGGAUUUGGAAGCCUGCUGGCGUAAGUCGGCUCUUCUUAAAUGUAUUAGCUGCUUGUCCGUGAGUUGGCUCAGAGUGUGAUAAGUAUCAACACUUGGUGGCUGCUUGCUUGGAUGUGGCUUCUAAUCGUCUUCGGACAACUUUCUUAAGAUCUGACCUCAAAUCAGGUAGGACUACCCGCUGAACUUAA